GUGGUUGCUUCAGCACCACAUACACUAAAAUUGGAAUGAUACAGAGAAGAUUAGCAUGGCCCCUGAGCAAGGAUGACUUCCAAAUUCAUGAAGUGUUCCAUGUUCUU